ensembl:misc_RNA 7SK 7SK RNA
GGAUGUGAGGGCGAUCUGGCUGCGACAUCUGUCACCCCAUUGAUCGCCAGGGUUGAUUCGGCUGAUCUGGCUGGCUAGGCGGGUGUCCCCUUCCUCCCUCACCGCUCCAUGUGCGUCCCUCCCGAAGCUGCGCGCUCGGUCGAAGAGGACGACCAUCCCCGAUAGAGGAGGACCGGUCUUCGGUCAAGGGUAUACGAGUCUCCCCUGCUAGAACCUCCAAACAAGCUCUCAAGAAAAGAUGGGGAAAAAUAGGAGUAUCAGCAUAGAAUUUCUGAGAUGUAAAAAAU